rnacentral:lncRNA from 1 species
CCAAGAUGCCCCCAGAGUCCACCAGUAAAGCAUGUGGCAAGAGGAAAGGCCUGGAACAGUAGAGAGAAAGAAAAUAGGCUUUCAAGUUAGAAGACUUGAAUUUGAGUACUAGAUGCCCAAAUUACCAGUGCCCUGUAGAGAACCUAAACAAAUUAGGAGACCAACAAUGGCUGAUCUGUGAUCUUCUGAUCAGAACAUCAGAACUCACAGUCCUUGAUCUUCCAGCCUGUUAUUUCAGACCACUGAGCCAUGUUGCCUCUCUGAAUAAGUGGACAAAGACUUAGAAAUGCCUUUGCAGUGUGAGAUGACUUUGGAAAAUGCAUUGCAUCUAGAAGAAAAAAGCAAUGGUGCCUUUCUAAUUGAUCUUGUUACCACCACUCCUUAAAUCUGAGGUCCACUGCUUUCAUAUCAUUGAAAGACUAUGCGAAGAUCCACGUUUAAUGCUGGUAGAGCAUAAAGAUGCAGCUGGUUUCAAAAAUAGAACUUAUAAUUCCUGAUCUGAUUUGUACACAUACCCUGAUGGUAUAAGAAAGGUUCAUUUCAAAAUUA